rnacentral:rRNA from 1 species
ACGUGGGUAACCUGCCUGUAAGACUGGGAUAACUCCGGGAAACCGGGGCUAAUACCGGAUGCUUGAUUGAACCGCAUGGUUCAAUCAUAAAAGGUGGCUUUUAGCUACCACUUACCGAUGGACCCGCGGCGCAUUAGCUAGUUGGUGAGGUAACGGCUCACCAAGGCGACCAUGCGUAGCCCACCUGAGAGGGUGAUCGGCCACCCUGGGACUGAGACCCGGCCCAGACUCCUACGGGAGGCAGCAGUAGGGAAUCUUCCGCAAUGGACGAAAGUCUGACGGAACAACGCCCCGUGAGUGAUGAAGGUUUUCGGAUCGUAAAACUCUGUUGUUAGGGAAGAACAAGUACCGUUCGAAUAGGGCGGCACCUUGACGGUACCUAACCAGAAAGCCACGGCUAACUACGUGCCAGCAGCCGCGGUAAUACGUAGGUGGCAAGCGUUGUCCGGAAUUAUUGGGCGUAAAGCGCGCGCAGGCGGUUUCUUAAGUCUGAUGUGAAAGCCCCCGGCUCCACCGGGGAGGGUCAUUGGAAACUGGGGAACUUGAGUGCAGAAGAGGAGAGUGGAAUUCCACGUGUAGCGGUGAAAAUGCGUAGAGAUGUGGAAGAACACCAGUGGCGAAGGCGACUCCUCUGGUCUGUAACUGACGCCUGAGGCGCGAAAGCGUGGGGAGCGAACAGGAUUAGAUACCCUGGUAGUCCACGCCGUAAACGAUGAGUGCUAAGUGUUAGAGGGUUUCCGCCCUUUAGUGCUGCAGCAAACGCAUUAAGCACUCCGCCUGGGGAGUACGGUCGCAAGACUGAAACUCAAAGGAAUUGACGGGGGCCCGCACAAGCGGUGGAGCAUGUGGUUUAAUUCGAAGCAACGCGAAGAACCUUACCAGGUCUUGACAUCCUCUGACAACCCUAGAGAUAGGGCUUCCCUUCGGGGGCAGAGUGACAGGUGGUGCAUGGUUGUCGUCAGCUCGUGUCGUGAGAUGUUGGGUUAAGUCCCGCAACGAGCGCAACCCUUGAUCUUAGUUGCCAGCAUUCAGUUGGGCACUCUAAGGUGACUGCCGGUGACAAACCGGAGGAAGGUGGGGAUGACGUCAAAUCAUCAUGCCCCUUAUGACCUGGGCUACACACGUGCUACAAUGGGCAGAAC